AUGUGUCAGCCGCCGGGCGGUAAUACGGAGGUGGCAAACGUUGUUCGGAUUCAUUGGGUGUAAAGGGUAUGCAGGCGGCUUGUAAGUCGGAUGUGAAAUCCUUUGGCUUAACCAAAGAACUGCAUUCGAAACUGCUUGGCUUGAGUUUGAGAGAGGAAAGUGGAAUUCCCGGUGUAAGGGUGAAAUCUGUAGAUAUCGGGAGGAACACCAGUGGCGAAAGCGACUUUCUGGCUCAAAACUGACGCUGAAAUACGAAAGCUAUGGGAGCAAACAGGAUUAGAUACCCUGGUAGUCAUAGCCGUAAACGAUGAGCACUAGGUGUGGGGCCCACUGGGUUCUGUGCCGAAGUUAACACAUUAAGUGCUCCACCUGGGGACUACGGCCGCAAGGCUGAAACUCAAAGAAAUUGACGGGGACCCGCACAAGCGGUGGAGCAUGUGGUUUAAUACGACGCUACGCGUGGAACCUCACCAGGGCUUGAAAGGUGCAUGAAAGCCCGAUGAAAGUCGGGCCCUCCUUUCCGGGACAUGCAUACAGGUGUUGCAUGGCUGUCGUCAGCUCGUGUCGUGAGAUGUUGGGUUAAGUCCCGCAACGAGCGCAACCAUCGUUCAUAGUUGCCAUCGGUUCGGCCGGGCACUCUAUGGAGACUGCCGGCGAUAAGCUGGAGGAAGGUGGAGAUGACGUCAAGUCAGUACGGCCCUUACGUCCUGGGCUACACACGUGCUACAAUGGCCGGUACAAUGGGCAGCAAUACCGCGAGGUGGAGCUAAUCCUGAAAGCCGGCCUCAGUUCGGAUUGAAGGCUGCAACUCGCCUUCAUGAAGCCGGAAUCGCUAGUAAUGGCACAUCAGCCACGGUGCCGUGAAUACGUUCCCGGGUCUUGCACACACCGCCCGUCAAAU
rnacentral:rRNA from 1 species